rnacentral:lncRNA from 1 species
UUAUCUGGGGUAAUAAUGUUGUGCUGUUUGUGCGCACUUUGAGCAUGCCCCUUUGUGGUGUGGAGUAUCGUGCGGUAUAAGUACCCUCAUUAUUAUUAUUAUUAUUAUUAUUAUACUGUGUAUUCACAAGCCUCAACGACAAUUUGCUGAUUAGAAAGUUCACCAUACGCAUCCAUCUAUGGAAAAGUUUUCGCAUCUGCAGGUACUGUAUCAGAGAAAAUAGUUGCUAUCAUGAGAUUGUGUAUACUGAGGUUUAUGAUAAAAGUAAUUAACAAAACUUGUCCAGUGUGUGAUUUGCACUACAAUGUUUUCCUUGAAGUCUGUUAGACUUUGUCUCCAUCACCUUGUAAAUGCUUCUUAUUUAUUUGUGGUACAUCCUUUGCUCAUUCUUGUAGACUCUACAGUUUCUAGUAUUCAGGUGAACUUACAUCCCACAGGUCAAUUGUUAUUCCUCUCAUAUGUUUUGCAGUUUUUGCAGGCAGGGAGAUUAUCAGCUCUUAGUGCUUUGUACAUUGGGUCGUGUGAACAUACUGAUGAAUCUGCCAGUGUAGUUUGUUUGCUGGUAGAUUAAAAGGAGGAGGAGUGUGUCAAGUAGAAGCUGCCAUGUGUUUAUAUGGAGUAAACAAUUUGGUUUGACCAGAUAUAGGACAAGUGGGUUGGGAUGAUCCAGACUGUCGAAGGCACAGUGCAGAGGUUAGGUUGUCAAAGGCACUGUAUAAAGUUCCAGCUGCCAAAAGCACUGUCCAGAGAUCAGGUUGUUGAAGGCACUGUGCAGAGGUCAGGUUGUCGAAGACACAAUGUAGACAUCCAGCCCUCAAAAGCACUGUGCAGAGAUCAAGUUGCCAAAGGCAAUGUGUGACGGUCCAGCUGUCAAAAGCGCUGUGCAGAGGUGAGGUUGUUGAAGGCACUGUUUUGUGGAAGGCACUGUUAGAGGUCAGGUUGUGGAAGGCACUGUGCAGAGGUCAGGUUGUGGAAGGCACUGCAGAGGUCAGGUUGUCAAAGGCACUGUGCAGAGGUCAGGUUAUUGAAGGCACUGUCAGAGGUCAAGCUGUCAAAGGCAUUGUUAGUGUCAACUGGUUUUGGAUUAUUACUCUUCAUCUACUGAUGAUCCUUGGUCUGUGGGCAUAUAAGUGGUAAAGAACUUGUCUUUGCCAAUCCUGCAAAUUGAUCUGACACACUGUGGUACAAACACUGUUAGAACAGACAUUAGAACUUCACUCACUAUCAGGGCAGUUUGUGGAUUGAUAUAGAAGGUAAGUCAACUUGUUCAUCUUCAUUGAUCUUCAAAUAUAUUAAGUCAGUCAUUUGUCAUAGCUAUGCCUUUUAUCAUGUAGAUACUAGAAAGCAUCACUUGCCAAAUGAUAUUAUUUACACUUUUGUUGUGUUGAAUUGGACACUAUGCUUACAUGUAGAGAGCAAAGUGCAGAUGUAACGCUUCUGUCUGACCCAGGUAUAUAUUGUGAUAUUUGAUUGAAAGAAUAUGCUGUUUUGUUUGUGAUUAAGACCAUUAACUGUUACCUAACACUCAUGCAAAACAUGCAUAUGUUGAUAAAAUGCAUGCCUAUGUUGAAAUAAUGCAUCCAUAUAUUGCUAUGACAUUUUCUCCCUGUGCUGAUUCAUCUGGUGAUUUGGGUUGGAAUUGGCCUUAAGCAACCAAAGCUUGUCAUAAGAGGCGACUUACGGGAUUGGGUGGUCAGGCUUGUUGAUACUUGUCAUCGCAUCCCAAUUGUAUAGAUCGGUGCUCUAACCACUGACUUUCCCCCCUCUCCUGCAACCAUGAAGAUCUGGGUUAGAAUUGAUCUUCAGUAACCCAUGCUUGUCAUAAGAGGCGACUAACUGGAUGGGGCGGUGAGACUCGCUGACUUGGUUGACACAUGUCACCGCAUCCCAAUUGUGUAGAUCGAUGCUCAUGAUGUUGAUCAUUGGAUUGUCUUGUCGAGAUUUGAUUAUUUACCGACCGCAGCCAUCUAGCAUUAAACAACAAACAAAGACAUGAGAUGACUAAAGGUAAUAAGGGGGAUGGAGUAUAUUUGAUGUAAAAGUGCAACCUCAUCACACUGAGUGCGUCUGGCAUAUUCCUUAUGGUGGCAUAAUUUGUAAUGCCACUGUUUUGAGGUUUAAAGUCAAAAUUAUGGAUGCAAUGAAACUAUGAUGAGCCAGCAUGUCUUCUUUCAUAAGCCAAACAAUUAGGCCUACAUUGUUGUCAAACAUGAUGGAUUUUUAACCAGGGGUGGGAAUUGUGAGAUUAUGUUGUUGAUAUGUAUAUACUUACAUAGGAUGACUGUUUCUGUUAGAUCAGGAGAUUCCCAAGGAUAAACUGAGCAAAUUCAGUUCCUGUAAGUAUUUUCUCAACGGAUCCUGGACAUAUCAGCGUGAUUAACGAACAAAGUAUUUCAAGAUAUACUUACCCUAUAUUUUGUUAUAAAAUGUCUAAUUGUAUAAUGUAGGCAAAGUAUUCAGGUGACUGCCACAUGGGAGUGGUCAGUACAUACACUUCCAUUAAUUUUCAAAUGAAGAUAUUAAUAUCAAGAAUAUAUGAAAUGUAUAUUCACUCAGAUCUAAUUAAAAGCAACAGAAUAACUUAAACCUUCUGAUUCUAACACAACAGACAAUAAAACUACAUGGAAUUGUUAGUGGUAUUUCUUAUUAAUAUUUGACUGAAAUUUGUAUUGAUGCAGUGUUUUUCUAAAAAACAAACCUUUCUUUCAUCAGGAAUUUGUAGCCUUUGAAUUCAAGGGGGGAAAAUCUAGUAAAAGUUUAUUGUUUACUUUCAUUUUGAGCUAAUUUAGAGAAAGCCCUGAGGGACUGAAGCUCACCUUUUUUGAAUUUGUAGCAAGAAAAAAAAUCAGAAAAAUAAAGAAAAUGUUUCUAGAUUCCUCUAAUAGAGCAUUUUCACAUUUUAUAAGCAGUCGAAUUGAAAAACCAGAUGCUGUGCAUUUAAUACAGUGCACAGGAUGACCACCACAGUCACUGAAGUAUUGUACAUAGACUCAAGUCAGUCAUUACAGGUAGGUGUAAACUAAACUUGUUUGUUCCCUGUCUACUGAACUUGGGAAGUGGGGUGGUCCUGUGGAUGAGGUGUUUGCUUGUCAAACCAAAGGUUCGGGUUUGUUCCCAUAACAGAUACAACAUGUGAAGCACAUUUCUGGUGUCCACUUUGGUGUGAAAUAUUGCUAAAAGUAAGUAAAUAAUGUUUUACACCACCAUAAGCAAUACUUUAGCAAUAUCACACAGGGACACCAGAAAUUGGCUUCUCACUUUGUACCCAUGUGGGAAAUCGAACUUGUCUUGGCAAGCAAAUGCUUUAACCACGUGACUACCCAAUCACCCAUAUUGCCUAAGGAAACCAUACUCAAACUGAGUGUAUUUAAUUGUGUCCAUCUGUUGAUCAGCUGUACUUGCUUGUUGAUAUACAUAUUCUGAUAUUCCUAGUUAUCAUCCAUUUGAUAUAUUUUGUUGUUAUUAUGUUUGGUGCUGAUUGUUUCCUGAUCAGGGACGGAUAUAUCUGUUGGUUUUUCUAUGUGUUAUUGCGCUUGUAUCAUACAGUCACUUAUACCACAUGCUAGUUAUUACAGUAGAACUGCUCUGAUGUCUACGCUUAUGUUUUGUGUAAGUUCCCCGUUGCUAAGGUAAAUAAUGUACAAAAAGAAACUUAAAUUCAGGUAGGAUGAUGAAUAUUGAACAAAAUAUUUCUCUACGUUUUUCAUCCCAAAGUUUUUAAAGUAGAAUUGUGUUUAUACUUAGAAUGUGCUUAAAUUGUGAGAUUAAUUCUUAUGUGUAAAAAACAUGCAUUCCUCAUUCAUGUUGAUAGAAUAUGUGAUAAGAACGUCAACUGAAGUUUGGUUAAACAUGUAAAGCCUCUGAGACUCUUUUCUGGUAUACUAUUAAACAUUGUUUAUCAAAAGGCCACACCUGUUAUGAAAGAUGAGUAUUUCGGUCUUUACCAAAUGGUCAGUAAUUUUGCUGUGUGCUGGUUUUCUGAGAUAAUGUUUCAGAAUGUAUGACUGGAGGCCCCAUGUCGAAACAAUGUCAAUCAAUUAUUUGCAUAGAAACUUGAAGUGUAUUUUUAUUUGUGACAUGAAGCUGUACAUGUUGAUGGUGUUAUAUUCUGUACAGGUACUGUAUCGCUCAGUCGUAUGAAUAUAUGUAAUGUACAAGAA